rnacentral:pre_miRNA from 10 species
UCUGAGCUUCUACGGCGAGCGUGAUAUUUGUCUUUGGUUAUCAAGCUGUAUGAUUGAUUUGAAAUUUCAUAAAGCUAGGUUACCAAAGCUAAAACGAACGCCUAGCAACAGCAGCCGAUCA